rnacentral:rRNA from 1 species
CAGCAGCCGCGGUAAUACGGAGGAUCCAAGCGUUAUCCGGAAUCAUUGGGUUUAAAGGGUCCGUAGGCGGUCUUGUAAGUCAGUGGUGAAAGCCCAUCGCUCAACGGUGGAACGGCCAUUGAUACUGCAGGACUUGAAUUAUUGGGAAGUAACUAGAAUAUGUAGUGUAGUGGUGAAAUGCUUAGAGAUUACAUGGAAUACCAAUUGCGAAGGCAGGUUACUACCAAUUGAUUGACGCUGAUGGACGAAAGCGUGGGUAGCGAACAGGAUUAGAUACCCGCGUAGUCCCUGUCUCUUAUAC